rnacentral:rRNA from 1 species
CGUAUGCAACCUACCUUCAACUGGGGGAUAGCCCCUCUAAAGAGGGAUUAAUACCCCAUAGUAAUUAGAUAAGGCAUCUUAUUUAGUUUAAAGUUCCGGCGGUUGAAGAUGGGCAUGCGUGACAUUAGCUAGUUGGUGAGGUAACUGCUCACCAAGGCUACGAUGUCUAGGGGUUCUGAGAGGAUGAUCCCCCACACUGGUACUGAGACACGGACCAGACUCCUACGGGAGGCAGCAGUAAGGAAUAUUGGUCAAUGGACGCAAGUCUGAACCAGCCAUGCCGCGUGAAGGAUGAAUGCCCUAUGGGUUGUAAACUUCUUUUGUACGGGAAUAAACCCAGGUACGUGUACCUGGCUGAAUGUACCGUAAGAAUAAGGAUCGGCUAACUCCGUGCCAGCAGCCGCGGUAAUACGGAGGAUCCAAGCGUUAUCCGGAUUCAUUGGGUUUAAAGGGUGCGUAGGCGGAUUUGUAAGUCAGUGGUGAAAGCCUGCAGCUCAACUGCAGAACUGCCAUUGAUACUGCAAGUCUUGAGUACACUUGACGUGGGCGGAAUGUGUCAUGUAGCGGUGAAAUGCUUAGAUAUGACA